rnacentral:rRNA from 1 species
GACGAACGCCGGCGGCGUGCUUAACACAUGCAAGUCGAACGGUGAAAGCGGAGCUUGCUCCGCUGGAUCAGUGGCGAACGGGUGAGUAACACGUGGGCAACCUGCCCCUCACUUCGGGAUAACUCCGGGAAACCGGGGCUAAUACCGGAUAUGACCUCCUUGGGCAUCCUUGGAGGUGGAAAGUUUUUCGGUGAGGGAUGGGCCCGCGGCCUAUCAGCUUGUUGGUGAGGUAGUGGCUCACCAAGGCGACGACGGGUAGCCGGCCUGAGAGGGCGACCGGCCACACUGGGACUGAGACACGGCCCAGACUCCUACGGGAGGCAGCAGUGGGGAAUAGUGCGCAAUGGGCGAAAGCCUGACGCAGCAACGCCGCGUGCGGGAUGACGGCCUUCGGGUUGUAAACCGCUUUCAGCAGGGAAGAAGCCGCAAGGUGACGGUACCUGCAGAAGAAGCACCGGCUAACUACGUGCCAGCAGCCGCCGCAG